rnacentral:rRNA from 1 species
UUUCGAAUCAUUCACAAUGGGCGAAAGCCUGAUGGUGCGACGCCGCGUGAGGGAUGAAGGCCUUCGGGUUGUAAACCUCUGUCACCGGGGAAGAAACGCCCCAAGUUAACAGCUUGAAGCCUGACUUAACCCGGAGAGGAAGCAGUGGCUAACUCUGUGCCAGCAGCCGCGGUAAUACAGAGACUGCAAGCGUUAUUCGGAUUCACUGGGCGUAAAGGGUGCGCAGGCGGUUGGGUGUGUCAGAUGUGAAAUCCCGAGGCUUAACCUCGGAACUGCGUCUGAAACUACUCGACUAGAGUAUUGGAGAGGGUAACGGAAUUCACGGUGUAGCAGUGAAAUGCGUAGAUAUCGUGAGGAACACCAGAGGCGAAGGCGGUUACCUGGACAAUUACUGACGCUCAGGCACGAAAGCAUGGGGAGCAAAAGGGAUUAGAUACCCCUGUAGUCCCUGAGCGGGCUGGCAAGGCGCAU